CCUACGGGUGGCAGCAGUGAGGAAUAUUGGUCAAUGGACGAGAGUCUGAACCAGCCAAGUAGCGUGAAGGAUGACUACCCUAUGGGUUGUAAACUUCUUUUAUAUGGGAAUAAAAUGUUCCACGUGUGGGAUUUUGUAUGUACCAUAUGAAUAAGGAUCGGCUAACUCCGUGCCAGCAGCCGCGGUAAUACGGAGGAUCCGAGCGUUAUCCGGAUUUAUUGGGUUUAAAGGGAGCGUAGGUGGAUUGUUAAGUCAGUUGUGAAAGUUUGCGGCUCAACCGUAAAAUUGCAGUUGAAACUGGCAGUCUUGAGUACAGUAGAGGUGGGCGGAAUUCGUGGUGUAGCGGUGAAAUGCUUAGAUAUCACGAAGAACUCCGAUUGCGAAGGCAGUUCACUGGACUGCAACUGACACUGAGGCUCGAAAGUGUGGGUAUCAAACAGGAUUAGAUACCCGAGUAGUC
rnacentral:rRNA from 1 species